rnacentral:lncRNA from 1 species
GAGGAAUGGCAGGAGCUGUGUUAACGAGUUGAGAGAUUUUCUCAUCCAAUGUGAGCCGUGACACGAUGUCUUUUGCUCUUUGAGUGAUGGUAAGGUUGAGAUUGCAGAAUGGAAAGGAUUUUGUAAGUGGGUUGGAGGUGUCACAGGAGUAAGGGGGUACAUUAGUAGCAAGUGAAUCGGCAUGAACGAGUCGGUGGUAGCGAGUUAAGAAGAGAAAAAUGAAAGUAAUGGUGAUGGAAAAGUGACCCAUGCUGUGAGGGAUGUAUGCAACGUGCUAAACAGAGUACAGAGCAUGUGUAUUUAUAUAGGUACAUGUGUCUGUCUUUGAUUUGGACUGAUACUUACGUGUGUCUGUUUUUAGCCUCUUUUUCAUUCUUUGACUAAUUUUUCUGAGAUUUGGUUUCUAUUUUGUUCGUUAAACUAACCAGCGAGAUUGCCAUAUGUCACGCACUGAUUCACUUAAUCAAACUCAGCCACCAAACGUACAAACGUUGUAAAUCUCAGAACCAAGUAUACGUUGGAAAAAUAAGUUGGAAAAAAAAAACUUGGAUUUAUAUGUUAAGGUGAUUGAUGAAGCAAGCAUACAUAAGUGCAAUCAGCAUUAGUCGGUAAAAUGCAUAAUAGGUUGCAUCAGCGGGGGUAAAGAUAUUAUUAUGUAAGAUGUUGUUUGAUUUGUUUUAUUUUUAAAAUAAUAAAUUUUUAUAAUUUUUUACUUUAAAUAAUUAAAAUAUUAUCGGUUAAAAUUGUGUAUUGACAUAUGUGAACAGAUUGACUUGAACAUGUAUUUUGAAACGGAUGGAGUAUAUCAUAAUCAAAUAAAUACAAACAUAAAAAAAAAUAUAAAAUUUAUACCUAUUAAUAAAGAUUAUGACAUAAUAUCAUCAACUCUGUUUGCAUGUUAAAGAUACCAACAAUAAAAUAGUACCUGUAAAUCCAAGAUGUUGAAAGCAUUACUAGAUGAAUUACUAUUGAUCAUUAAUCAGUAAUCAACAAUUUAAAAAUGAAUUAAACAUUAAGAUCAAAAUUAACUUUUCCAGAAAAGUCAGUUUCCUGACUGCAUCGUAGAAGCUCCCUUUUUUUAAUACCUAAACGCCCUUUUUCAAUUAUAUUUUUCACACUAUUAACUUCUCAUCACACACAAUCAAUUAAUUUUUAACCCCGGUUACUUACUUCCCAUUAACUUCUCACCUCGCACAAUUGUUAAUGAGAAUUGCUGUUUACACUUUACAUAAGGCUGUGCCACACAAGUAUUUUACUCUUUUGCCCCCUCAGCAGUAAACUGCCGAGGAAUUUGAAAUCCGACUGCAGUUAACUACCGAGGAAAACCUCGGUAGUAAACUGCCGAGGAAAACUGAUUAUGCAGACAACAAGUUCUGCAUAAUUCUAAACAUUUCCAAGCCAUUUUUUCGGCCAGUUUUUACCUGUAAUUAAACCAGAGCAUUUCCAAAGGCAAAAUAAUUCAUACAAGAUUGAAACUCGGACAUAAACAAGAUAAAUACAAUAUCUUAUACAAUUGUUCAUAAUUAAAUUAAACCGACAUUUGGUUAAAAUUAAACAAACGUUUGAAAUUCAUCAAAACAUUACAAAGUGUUCAUAAUUAAACAACUCAUUACACAUCAUUAAAUUAAAUCCCUACUUACAUUCAACGCAAUUGCAUAUGGAACGAACAUACAUAUAUAAUAUAUUAUUUUCCACCAUAUUCUGAAACAUAAAUCCGACGUCGACGUCGUCGCGAAUAAGCAAAGGCAUAUCGCUUGCUGUUUUCCACGCGUAUUCAUCUCUAUCUUCUCCUAGGGCUAUGCAUGGCAUUUGACCAAACAAGUGACGUGUAUAUUGAUUUUCACCAAGAUGCUCAAAAUAAGUGUUAAGUUGUGCCUUCAAAUUGUCAAGAGAGUCCGUCAGCGUUAUUGAUAAGAUAAAACCGCAAGUGCACGGUCUUACCGAAGUAGUAUGAAAAGAGUAUCGUUCCGACAGGGAAUAGUUUAAUUGAAUUAACCUUUGACAAUGAUUAGAGGAGAAAAGAGUUGUAAGUUGGGGUUUUCAAGCAAUUGAAAGAUAAUAAUAAUAAAAGGAGCAUUGGGAUCAUUGGUUCAUCUAAAUAACAAGUCCUUCACAAACCAAACUAUAAGCUUAUAACUUUAUGUUAGACCUAAUUUCUCAAGACAGUUUCUAUUGUGUUCCUUUAGCAACCAAGCCUAUUUCGAUGACCUGAUUACUAUUAGAUUUUGGUUCCUCUAACAACCAAGCCUAUUUCGCUGACUUGAUCAUUAUUAGUUCCCUUGAAGAUCGAAACUAUAUGUCUCAAAGAUUGCAAAGACUAUUUCGCUGCCUUUGCAAUCCUUGUCUAAAUUCACUUGUUCGAAUAUCAAAGCUCCACUUUCGUUUUAUGAAUUGAUAUUUGAGAUAAUGGAUAAACAAUUAUCAAACCCUCCACUUUCGUUUCCACAGUUUGAUAAUGGUUGAUCCAUGUUAAAGCGGUGAAUUUAGAUAAGAAAUUAGGGUUACAUAAGAUUAAGGCUUAGAGCUUGGCUUGAUUAGGAUUAUGUCAUUUAGACUUAUCCAACAAUCCCAAGACAAAGAGAAGUCUACUCACUCAUGUUCAUCGUAGACAUGGGGAAGAAGAGAGAAAGCAUAAAAGUAAAUGACAAGAAAAUAAAGGAAAAGGAAAGAACUUUUAUUAGAAAAGCAAUUGUCACUUAUUGAAUUCCAAGAAAAGAUGAAUAUUUGUGAUGGAUAGCUACUCUAUUUAUAGCAUACAUUCGACUUAAAAUCUAAGCAAUUACAUUACUGGAAUGUUCCACAAGAAACUACGGGCUAAAAUAGAGUAGCUUAAAAUCUAAGCAAAAGCAGCAAAAGUGACUCUGGAGGGUGGCACGGCCGUGCCAAUGCUAGCACGUGUCGUGCCAAGCUUCUGACUUUGGGGAGACAUAUUUUUGUCUCUGAAUCUUCGUAUUUUCGUACUAAAUCAGCUCCAAGUCCCUUUCUUUUGCUACAAGACUCAAUCCAUCCAAUAUUCGUUCCUGAAAUAUAAUAAAGUGCAAUUUGUAGUAAACUAACUCAAAAAAGAAAUAAUACUAAUAUAAAAUAGAAUCUAUUUAAAACUAAACUAAAUAACAUAUAAAAAUAGAUAUUAAAUCACUCAUCAGUUAUCAUAACCUUAACCGUCUUUUUAAACGCGGAGUACCUAACACGCCCUUCAAUUUGUGCAACCUCAGACAUGUCUCACUUGAAAAAAGCUUUAAGAAAAGAAUCAUAUAUUAGAACAAAAUUAAAUGGAAUGUAAUAAUGAAUAAAUCAAAUGCGUAAACAUUAAUAAGCUAUAAAUAAGUAUUGCAUUAGUUUCACCACAUAAAAGUCAUAUUAUCAUAUAUAUAUAUAUAUAUAUAUAUAUAUAUUAGUUAUAUAUUGGCCACAAAAAAUUGGCGUUACAAUUUCGACCCCAAAAUAUACUUUGGUGUAAUUUCUACCAAAAAAAAGGACUAACACCGACAAAAAAUCACUCAUUAAAGACCAAGUGAUUGGAGAAGAUCAAGUGACAUAGAAUCUUCCUCAUCUUCCGCAAUAACAUCAAAUUGUUGCUUUGGUUUUUCGGGAGUGUCCAACAAAAUAGGCGCCGCUUUGUUUGACUCCUUUUGUGGUUUGGACGGUUUGUUUCCACUUUCAAUAGCCAUGAGCUUUCGGAACAACUCAUGUUGAUCCAAAUACUCAUCUUCCCAAGUCACCGUAUCUUCUUUUUUGUGAUUGUGCCAAUCCGUAGAUGAUGGAGGUAGUGGACAACCAUUCUUCAAAUAAAUAAACACGAAAUGAUUCGGAAUUGCCCCAAGGCACAAGAUGGGAGUUUUUUGAUUACCCGGCGGUGGUGGCCCUCUUAGUGGGAAAAAAGAUUCAGAGUUUCCAACUUCAAGAUUUGUCAACAUGACCACACACAUUUUGUAAUAAUUAGCAACAAUGUGUCCCAUCUCCGGAAAAGUCAACCACUUAUCAACAAGAUGUGCACAAGUUUUUGUAUUUGCGGGAGGAUGUAAGCCGUUUAAAAUGUAGUUAUAACGAUCCUCACCCGCAAAUACUUCAACAUAAUCAUCUUUAUGAUCUAUCAACUCUUGAAUAAGAUGUGUACGGAUCAUGAGAUGAUUUUUUUCAGUCAAGCCCAUGAACUCGGCUAUAGCCCGGAAUCCACAAUGUCCAUCGCCGAUAACAUCCAUCACUUUUUCAAUAAAUGGAAGCAUGAAGUGUGGCAUAUAAUCAAUAGGACGCAUAACCGGGAUAGCCUUAGGCUUUGGAUACCGAGUAGGUGGUGGAAGUGGGGAAAGUGAUGUUUUACCAAGACGAGUACCUUUUUUUCUUUUAUACGAUGAUGUUGUUGGUGAUGGUGACGGUUGGCUAUCUGGAUUUUGGGAAUCAACAACCUCCCACGAAGAAGGGAUCCGACUAGUCGAUGUAAUUUUUCCUUUAGACCUCGCAAUGUCGAAUUUUUUCUUUGCUCCCUUGGUUGGUACUUUUCGUGGUGGUGGAGACAUCAAGGUGGUUUCAGGAAAUGCCAACUGCCGUAAACCCUCUUUGACCUCAAGCUUCAUUUGGAAAGGGAGUUUCUUUAGACGUUCUACAAUAGCCUUCAACUCAACCUCGACACAAAAAGCAUCUUCGUUACUUUCUUCACCCAUAGAUAACCUAAGCCAAUGGUGGUAUAUCUCAUCCAAUAAAAUUGGCUUCUCUUCAAGGAGCUUAGUAGCAAUUUCGCAUGCACUUGGUAGCCCGUAAGAUGUCCUUUGAACACAACCACAAAUGUCAUUGUCCAUGCACAAUGUUUCUGAUAAGUGCUAGAAAGUUGUAUUUUAAGUGAUAUAUUUUAGGCACUUUUGUUACUUGUUUUGCAAGUUAUUGAGGGAAAAGCCGAGAAAUAAGUGAUUAUUGCCCUUUUACGCUUUAUCUAUCUUACUUCACCCAUUUGUGCAGGAUUCGAACUCAAGACAUCAAGCAAAGAGAAGAAAAUGGAGAAGAGUACAAAAAGGUAGAAAAAUGAGAUCACUCGCCUCCAACUUGCCAUGGCAAGCAUCAAAGGCGAGCAAUUCCAGUAAGCAUCAAAGAUCCUUCGCCUCCACCUCGCCAUGGCAAGCAUCAAAGGCGAGCAAUUCCAGUAAGCAUCAAAGAUCUUUCGCCACCAACUCGCAAUGGCGAGUGGAAGGCGAGAAAACUCGCCAUGGCGAGUGGAAUGACUCGCGAGGCGAGUUAGGGCGGUUUAGCCUCUCACAGCUGACGUGGCACAAACCCAAUGGCGAAGGAACCUCAACUCGCCAUGGCGAAUGAAUGAGCUCGCGAGGCGAGUUGAUGCAGAGUCAGAAUUGUAUAAAUAGCCCACUCAACCAUUUCAUUGAUAUAUAGUUUUUACUUAGUUUUUCUCUGAGUUUUUUUCACUUGUAAUGUUUCUAGAGAGAUAGAUAGGGCUUGUUCUUCAUAGAGUGAGAGUGAUAGAGAGUGGAUUCUUCAUUCUUUGUUGAGAAAUCACAAGUUGUAAAUGAAUCUUUCUCCUUCAAUUCAUUCUUGCAAGGCUUCCAUGACAAUGAGUAGCUAAAUCUCCUUUGUUGGGAUUAGAGGUACUUGAUCUUAGCUUAACAUGUAAUCUUUUGAUCUAUAAAUAUAUGGUUCUAGCAUUUGAUUUGAUAUUGAUGUUAUUCUUGCACUUUAAUCUUUAUCUUUGAUUUAAUUGUGAUUGAGAAAUACUUUUGAAUCUAGGUUUAGAAUAACCAUCUAUCAAAACAUAGGUUCUAGACAUGGAAUCGAUGUUUUGAUAAUCACUUUGUGUAUCCAAACCUAAAGCUUUCUUAGCAUUCAAUAGAUCGAGAAAUCAUCGAUUGGACGAUAAGAUCGACUCUUGAAUCAUUCAAUAGUUUGAGACAUCGACGAUUGAAUGAUACAAUUGAUUUCACAAUAUUGUUUGGACACGAAUAGUGUUGUCGAGGGAUACGUGAUAAUAUCAAAGAAAAGCUAGAAUCGAUGUAUGAUCAUUAGGUUACGUGCGACGCUUGAUCAAGGAACUCUAAUCCUAACAAGUUUCACGCCCUAUUAAUCUCAAUUUUAUCGUUUGCAAAUGAGUUACUAAAACAAACAACCAAUUAUCUUUUUAACUUGGAAUGGUAUUUGGUGUCGAACGGUCCGCGAUAUCGCACUAGUCCCUGAGGAGACGAUAUAAAUACUUACAAUUGUUUGAUGCAAAAAUACUACAUCAGUUUCCCUACAACGUGUCUCUUCCAAAGCAAUGUUGUCCAAAACAUAUCUAGACACAUGACCACCUAACCCCGAGUACAAAGUGACAUCUUUGAAUCUAUGUUCCAACACGCUAACGCUGUGACCAAAGGAUGUCUGUAUAGCAGUGAACUGAAGCAACAACAUGCCAUGUAUUUUCUCCCAACAACUACCCAAAUCACCCACACUAUUGUCCAAGUAUUUCUUCAAUAAAGCAUGAGCCGAUUCGACCAUGUUCGUGGUCCUGCAACCAAGAUGCAACACAUGGUCUGUCCAUGCCCUCACAAUUUUGUCCUUCACUUCAUUCAAGGUAGUCAUGGCAUAAUUUUCAAAAAUUGGGAAAUCACUACAUGAAUCUUUGAACUCCACUAAUGCAUUUGCAUAUAAAUGUUGAGUGGCCGAUUCAACCAUAGCUUUCCAUGCCUUCAUUAUCUUCUUGACAACAUCGCGAUUGCUCGCCUCUUUCCCAUCCUUUUUAAAACCCAAAGGAUAUUUACAAUCUAAGACACACCUUUGUUUAACAUUUGCUUGCACAUGAAAGUAACAAUUCAUUGCAUAACUUUCGGGAAAAACAUGUGCAACCGCUUUCAUCAAAGACAUAUCCCUGUCGGUAACAAUCACCUUAGGCAUAUUCAUCUUUGACGAAAGAAGUUUACGCAACAUUUUUAAAACCCAAAAAAAGUUUUCCUCUUUCUCAUGUGUCAUAAAUCCAAACUCACCCGAAUAUGUCAAAUCGGUCGAAGUGACCCCAACUACCUCAAGCAUUGGCAUCCUAUACAUGUUGGUUUUGUAGGUGGAGUCCAUAACCAAAACCGUUGGAAAAUUGUUAAACAACUUAAUGGAUGUUGGAUGAGCCCAAAAGAUAUCUUCGAUUGUAGUACUCUCACUUUGUGUUCUUGAGUAAUAAGUAUAGUUGUGCUCCUCCAACAUAUAUAGAUAUUAGAUAUUGCAACGGCUUCUUGUCACCUCUAUUUGCCUUCCAUAUUUGUUGACGUUCAUUGUACACUUGCUUCACAUUUGUCAUGCAAUGUGGUCUUUUGUUUUUCAAAUGUAUCAAAAUAUUUCUUGGAAGCAUCUUGCUCUUGGUCAAGUCACGUACAAUCUUCUUGUCGUCCUCCUUUAAUCUACCGGCAAGAAUGUGUCCUUCUAAAGCCGGCUCCAUGGGAUGGUUGUGAACUCCAUUAAGAAUGUUCAAUCCCCAUUCCUUUGUUUGCUUACUUUGAUAUCCACUAAUCAUGAACAAGCACCCACAUUUUCUUGAGCCCGUUCUCGCAUGCUUCGGUUUUUUUUUCAGCACUUUGUGAGUUCCACUCCUUUCACACACUAGCCGGAACAUUGGAUUGAUCAAGCUUGAUCUUUGUGUGACAAUUGUAAAUCCCGCCUUAUUUUCUUGUCGACGCACUCACUCAAGCAAUUCAUCUCUAUUUUUCGACUUAACGUCGUUUGAAAAAACCUAGCCGUGUCGACCUCGUGGGCUUGAAGUGGGAGGACACCGGAGCCGCCAACAUACUUUGAAGCUUCAACAUGGACGGAAGCUCCAUCAAUGUUUGGUUUCGCUUCAACUUUAGGCGGUUUGACAUCUCCGGAAUUUUCGACAAAAUUUUGUUUUCUCUCUCCCGGAACAUUUUUCGCGUUCUCUACCAUUACUAUAAUUAAACAACACAUAAAUAUGAAUUAACAACUAAGUAAUGUAUAAACAUCAAUGCCAUAAUGAAUUAAAACAAAAAAAAAAAACAAAAGAAAAAAAAAUUUGAAAAACUGGCAGUAGCUGCCAUUUUUUCGCUGUGAAAAUUUUUCACAAGAGUUCCUCGACACCUUACUACCGAGGUUUUCCUCGGCACUACACUGACUGCCGAGGAUUCCCAUGACAGGGUUCUACGUAACUGACGUAGAUACCCAUAAAAUACCCAAAAAAUCAAUCGAAUAAAAUGCACAAUACCUGUUUUUACGUCAAAAGUGUGUUGAUACCUCCUAUGCUUGAUGCUUGAAUGAUUUUGGAUCAAGAAUUGAUUAAAAAAAAUUGGAUUUUGGGAUUGAAUGGAGGUGGAAAUGAAGGUGAUGAAGAAAAUAGCGUGUAGGGGGAGCAGGUGGCUGUUUCAUCGGAUGAAACAUUUCCUCGGCAGUUAACUACCGAGGAUUUCCUGGGCAGUUAACUGCAGCCGGAGUUCAAAUUCCUCGGUAGUUAACUGCCGAAGGGGUAAAAUAAUAUUUUACUAGUGUGGCACAACCUUAUCACAUGUGGGAACAACAAUUCUCAUUGUUAAUAACUACUUCCUCACUCUGAUUUCGCAAACACACAUUUGCUCCUACAGUCAUCAAUUCUAUCAUUUUUUUUAUUAACAACUUCUCUAUCUAUUGUUCCUGUUAACAAAAAAAUUUCUCUAUCCAUUGUUAUUCUUAUCUCUCCAUUAAUUCAUUUCAUGCUCAACCAUUUUUACUCAAAAAAAUAGGACAUUUCAUCAGGAAUAAUGUUGUCAACUUACAGUAAAUCAUUCGUACUUCCUACAAUUGUAUGUACAUGACUUUAUUCUCUCAACACCUGAAAAAACUUUCGGUUCUUCUAUUUUUUCUUUCCUUUCAAUUUUCCAAUAUCACUUUUAUACUCUUUUAUUUCUUCUCUGUAUACAUUCUUCUAUCUCUUUGGUUAUGAAGCUUCUUACUUAAAAUUGUUGCUAAUCUCUCUAUACCUUUUUUUUUUUUAUUGUUGUUAAUCACUCUUUUUUUCUUCCUUUCUUAAAGUAAUUUUUUUUCCUAAAAUUAUCUCAUCCAUUGAUUUUCGGAAAAAAUCUUUUAGGGGGUGUUUGUUUCAAGGUUAAGAAUGACAUUCCCGGGAAUACAUGGCUAGGGAAUGAUUAUACCCAUGUUUGUUAUGAGGUUGAGAAAAAAAUAUUCCUGGGUAUAAAGGUUCCUAGGAAUGGAGUAACUUCCUAUAACUUCCAUUAUUCCCAUGAAUAUAUUCCCAUAUAAAGAGAUGGGAAUGUGCAUUCCCAUGAUAUUAUGCAUAGAUUUAAAAAAAAAAAAUUGUAACUUCCAAUUUUUUCAGGAAUGUCAAGUUAUUUGCCAAACACUUUUUUUAACAAAUACCCAAGAAUCAAAUUUUCAUAUUUUCAUUCCCGGGUAUGUUAUUCCUGGGAAUAAUUUGUGUUUCCCAAAAACAAACGCCCCCUUAGUAACCGGUUUUUUUUUUUUGGAAACUAAACUGUUGAAUUUGGUAUCUUUUUUCAAUUUAAUGGAAACAAAAUUGUAGUAAUUUACUUCCUUAAAAAAAACUGUAGUAAUUUACUCUCUCCCUCUUUUUCUCAAUUUCUAUCUCAAACUAUUCCAUCAUGAACUUAUUUUAAUCAUCAGUUUUUUAUACUUGCUUCAUUUAUUAUUGAAGUACAAAUACAUAAUUGGGUGAUAUGUUUUUUGAAUUUUCACUUUGUUCUGAAAUAUUUUUACCCAAAAAAAUAGUUUUAAAACUUCAAUGAAAUGUUUUGCAUCUACUUGAAGACCCAUAUAGAAGGAACUUUAAUGAAAUGUACUAUGUCUUUGAAUAAUUUUUCUAUACUAAUGCAGUUGUAGAAUUUCCAUUUUAGUGGGGUUAAGGAUGAAUUACGAAUUCAUAUUAGAACUCUGCUCUUCUCCCAUCACAUUUUGCUCGCGUCCAGCAUAAUUUUCAGUUAUACCCUUGCGUGAUUUAAGUCAUACACCACUGGCCUAGGCGUGAGUUAACUCACGCACGUUGGCUGGUGGUCUGAGUUCAUGAACAAACGAUUUUUGGACGGUGGUCAGGUUUUUAACCUUCAAUCUACACGUUUUUUUUACAACUUCUACACGUUUUUUUUUAUCACAUUUAUGGUGGUUAUAACCUAUACUACCAUUCCCACCUAUAAAUACCCCUCCAUACUUCCCUAUUUUCUCACACCAUAUCACUUUCUCUCCCUCCUCACUCUCUCCCUCUAUUUCUCUUCUUUUUUUUCUUCAGUAGUCUCUAGUCACUUGCGGUAAAUGGUGGCCAGUUAUGAGGUAAAUGGUGAGUACCCAACUUGGAGGAAGUGAUCAACCCUUGGGAUAAAAUUAACUUUGCUUCUUUUUACCCCAAAAACUUUUUACCGUGGGUAAAAAGAAUCUUCUUAGGGUAUAAAAAGAACCAGAUUUAGAUGUAGCGCAAGGGUUGAUGAUGUAUUUUCCCCAAGAAGGAUGCUCACUAUUUACCCCAAGACUGAUCAUUAUUUACUCCAAGAGGGUAAAAAGAAAAUAAGUAUAUUUAGUGAAUUCGAAUAAAUGUUUCAAUUAUUGUAUGAAUUCUAUUAAUAAGAUGAGAUGUUGUUAUAUGUAUUAAUUUUGUUCAUUUCUUUUUAUUUAUAUUUGCUUUUAUUUUCUGAUUUUGUAUUUAAUGAAUAAAUCCGAAUAAAUAUUAAUUUAGUUCAUUUCUUUUUAUUUAUAUUUGUAUUUAUUUGAUGAAUAAAUUCGAAUAAAUAUUUAUUUUAAGUACAAGCGUUAGUUAACUUACGUUCAAGACUUAUCAUUCAACUAUUAAUGGUGUUGAGGUUGUACGUGGUUAGAUAAGAUGAUUUUAUACUAUUUCACAUCCACACCUCAUACUUCUGGACGAGGAUCUUCAUGUUCUGAGGUCAACUGAGUAGGAGGCCCUUGAUGAGAUUGCUGCUGAGCAGAAGGGAGAGCAUGGGUAACUAGAGCUGAACGGAAUGUUGGGUCGUAUCAGAGACCGUGUCUUAUAUGUUAUGGGUAGUGGUGUGGUGGAUAGAGGGAGCGUUGAAUGAGAGUUUAGAAGCAAUUUUGCAAGAGGUUUCAUGGAGGGCGGGUUUAUCGUUGUAGACGUGGUAGGUGUUGUAACAGCCCGACUUUUAGCUAGAUUUAUUUUAAUUAUUUUUAUUAUGUGUUUGUGUGUGAUUAUUUGUGCUUGUGUGUAAUUAAUUGUCAUCUGGUGCAUUUACGUGGGUUUUCGUAUUAGAAGGGUAGUUUGGUAAUUUUGUGAGGAUGAGUAAAAUUAUAAUUUAGUGGGAAUUGCUUUUAGUAAUUAGUGAGAAUGGUUAUUUCAUUAAGUUACUAGAGAAAGUCGAGAUUUUACCGUUAGUGACAUUUUACCGUUAUUAAUUAAAAUAUCGUUUGGAGUGUAGUAAUAUUUUUGGUUUGAAUAGAAACGGGUUAAGCCCACUAGAAACUAAGUUAAGCCCAUUAGUAGAGAUAACACUAGGGUAGUGUUAGAAGAACCAAUUCAUUUCAUUUUCACAAACAUUUCUAGAGAGAGAAAGUGGGAAGAGAAGAUAAGGGUUUGGAGAGAAGGACUUGAAGAAUCCAAUUGGGAAAGCUUAGGAGCUAAAUUAAAGCCUAGGUUUGGUCUAAUCUUCAUCUAAGGUAAGGGGGUUAGUCUUUAUCAUAAUCAUGUUCAUUCUUUGCAAUUUUUCAUGAUUUGGAUGAAAUGGGUUGAAAUGAAUGAACGGAUAAUUGUUGCUAAAUUCGUGCUCCAACUUUGAUGAUAUGUUUGUAUGCAUGAAUUGAUGAUAAUUGUAUGAUUGUUGGUUAAAUUAUAUGUUUGAAUAUGUGAAAAUGAAAAGUUAUGAAAAUUGUGCAAAAUGGAUGAAUUGACAUGUUGUUGUUGAAUUAUGAUGGAGGGUAUGAUUAUAUGUUAUGAUUGUAGUUGAUUGAUGAUGUUGAUCUCAUUUCAUGACUUGGGUAUGAUUUAUGUUGAGAUGUUGUUGAGAAUUGUGUUGAAUUUGAAUAGAUGAAUUGUGGUUGUUUGAGAACUUAUUGUUUUGAGAAAAAAUUAUUUUAAACAAUUUCAUAACUUAUGCAAAUGCCCCGAAACGAGCGAGUUCGAUGUGUUAGAGCCUCGGGUUAUGCCUCGGAUCACUUUUGAUGAUUGAGGAUUUUAAACGUUCGAUUUUUGAUCGAAAUUGGCGAAAACCCGCGGCCGAGACACGCGAAAACGCGCGUUUACGGAGCGCUGGGCGCUCACUUACAGGGAGUCAGCGGGAACGUUGUUCCGUGUCCGGGUGCUUGGGGGUGGUCAUGCAGGGGUCCUAGGCGAUCGUUUUGAAGUGUUCUUUUGCUGUUUUCACCUACUUUUCUACUGGAACACGUUUGGCUUUGUCGGAACUUUAAUUUUCUAAAUGGUUUGAAACUUGAGUUUGUGUCGUUUCGGUUUUUCGGAAAUUGUUGGAACUUGGUCUUGGUGAACAAAAGGAGUUGCAAGCUUAGUCUACAGUUCUUAUGGGCUUAGGCAAUGCUUGUAAGGUUGGUACAAUGUCGUAAUCAUGUCAAACUUGAUUUUCGGGUGGGAAUGUGGAAUGUAUAAACUUGGGAUUUUCUCAUACGAACUUAGGCUAACCUUUGAACUAAUGAUCGAUAGUUUGUAAGUGGCCUAUGCUCAUACUUAUAUGAUUGAUUAAGAUUGAAUUGUAGGAUUUCAAACUUGAAUAAGUUGCCUAGCUUUGAAAAUUAUCAAUGUUGGCCGUUUGCCACAUGAUUUGGAUUUUUGGCGGAAAUGUUUCUUUAGCAAAUUGUUUUGUGAGUUAUUGAGAUUAUUCUUGUAUGACUAAGUGAAGUUGUAUGAAUGAGUGAUUAUAUUUUGGAUACGAUGUUUAUCAUGAGAUGUUGUAUGUUCUCUUACUUGGAAUAUGAGAAUCCUUGAAUGGUGAAACUAUAUGUGAUAGUUGAUGUUGAAUGAUUAUAUGUUGAAUAUGAUAUCUAUCAUGAGAUGUUGUUUUUCCCUAUUACUUGGAAUAUGAGAAUGCUUGAAAUGGUGAAACUAUAUGAUAUAGUUGAUGUUGCUUGACAUUGUUAAUUAUUGAUAAUUAUGUUGAAGUGUGAUGGUGAAUACUAUGAUUUAAUUGUGUGUGGGCAUGUUUUCUUAGUAAUGCAAUGUUGAGGAGAUAAUCAAUAUAAUUGGGUGUUGUCCUAUAUAUUGAGUUGAGAUUGAGAAUUGUUGUCGCAUUAUCGAGUCAUUACACAUGUCCAUGCAUCAUAGUCGUUGUUGCUGUAAAAGGGAUGACUCUUUUACUUCGAGAUUAUUGUAAGGCAGAGGUGAGCCUUACAUGCGAUGUUGACUUGUCCAUCGAAGGUGACGACCUUAUAGAGAUUUGGUACCGCAUGCAUUUAUGUGUCCAUAAGUGCAUAUCAUAGCAUGAGUCCUAUGUGAAUUAUGUGAUUGGUGAUGAAUUGAGAUGAAUGAAUGUUGCUAAUGAUUGUCUGUAAAUGAUGUUGUGAAUGAAUAUUUAUGAUUGGAUAAUUAUUCAUGUGAUUGAUAUAUGUGGAUAUGAACUAGCAAGUUGUGAUAUAAGUAUUUAUGCAUGACUAUUAUUAUUCAAGUACAUGAUAUUAUUGAAUUUGAUUAUUAUCUGGAUUAUGAUAAUGUAAUGCUUACCCCCAGUGGUUUUAACCGCCUACUUGCCUGUAUGGGUGAGUAGACGUUGUGCAGGAGUAGUCUCGGUGAGUCUUUGCUUGGGUAUCGGGAGCUUCCUCCGAUAUCGGUGUCGUGUCGGCUCUGAUCUAGGCUUGUCAUGUCGGUCUAGAUUAGGCUGUUUAUAUUUUCAUUUGGAUUAUUAUUUUGUUGAUGACUACCCGUAUGUUUGGGUUUUGAGAUUUAUCUUUGGAAUAUGAUUUAUUUGCUCAUGGCAUGUAUAUAUUUGAUCACUCUGAUUUAUAUUCCGCUGUAACUGUCGAGGUUUACAUACAUGUCUAUCGGUUUUUGAAUUUUGAAUAAGACGUAAUCUCUAUUUCUUGAAUAAAUGUAUUAUUCGCAUGUUUAAUUGCUUUAAUAGAAAUAGGAGCGUUACAGGUGUGGCAGGGGUCUUAGAGCCACCUAAUAGUUUUAUGUUGUUGUAGUAGGGUAGUGGUGUGGUGGAUAGAGGGACCGUUGAAUGAGAGAGUUUAGAACCAAUUUUGCAAGAGGUUUCAUGGAAGGUGGAUUUAUCGUCGUAGACGUGGUAGGUGUGCAGGAGUCUUAGAGCUACCUAGUAGUUUUAUGUUGUUGUAGUAUUAUGUACAAAUUUAAUGUUUUUAAUUUUUAUGUUUGAAUAUUUGGUUUAACCUACGUAUAAUUUGUGUUUAAUUCAUACAAUCUAUGUCUAGUUUGUGUUGUUUAGUAUCAUUUUUUUAUAACUUCAUGAAUGCAUGUUUAUAUCAUAUAAUUAUAUAAUUUGUAUGUAUCAGAGAAAAAACAUAGAGUUUGUCUCUGUUCUGAUACCAUUUGAAUUAUAUAAUCAUUACGGUUUUAUAACAUUUUUUUUAUUAUAUAAUCUAAAAUGUGUCUUUUUUAAAACCACAAAUUGCUAUUCUGGAUGGUGACACUUUUCGGAUUAUGAAAGCUGAAAUAUUGUAAGGGGUUUAUGAUUUAUAUAAUCCGAAAUACAUGUUUUACUAAGACUAAUACAAGCAUUUCUAGGAUGCUUUGUCUUCCAACUGAUUUUAUAUUGUUGAGAUUAUAUAAUAAUCAUGUAUUUUGAAGAAAAAAAAUAGGGCACGUCAGAAUCAGAUAAGGUUCGUAGAGAAGCUCCUUACUCUUAUAGAUGGCAAGCUUGCUGUUUAACCCAGUUAUAUAGGAGACUACAUCUCACGCCAAGAUGAAUUAAUUGGCUUAUUGCAAUUAGUGGUGUCGAGCCUUCUUGACAAACUUUUCAAGAUGUUAGAAAGCCUUAGAUUAUACCUAUUGGGUCAUCAUUUACAAGUUUUGUUUUCUUUUCAAUGAAAACAAAUUAUAUUAAUGUCAAUAUGUCAUCUACUAGCUAACUUGAAAAUGGAGUGACAUGCAUAAUAUUAAUAAGAGUAUUUGAGUAAAAGAAUUUAAUUUAUCAUUAAACAAAUUUACUCAUUGGUUUUUAAAAAUAUAUACAUAACCUUAGAAGACAUGAGAUAUGCUGUGAAAGUGAUUCAAAAUUGGAGAAAUUGAGUUUGCCGAAGCUAUCAAAAUUGGAGCCCGAUUUGGAGAAAUCGGAGCAUGAUUUUUCGGAGCAGAAUUGACACUUUUAUUCAUAAAAAAUCGGAGCACGAUCUGGCAAAAUCGGAGCACGAUUUCGCGCAGAAGAAUAAAAAUAAAACGUAUUUUUAUGGGCCUAAUUUGGUUUCAAUUUAUGAAGGAUGCUUUUACUAUAAAUAUAGACAUUGUAUCAGUGUAAACCUUGAGAUAGAGGGGGCUGAAACAAGGGUUUAGAAAGACAACAACAAAACUAGGGAUUGUAUAGAGUUUGUCUCUUUGGAACAAACACUAGGGUUUGAGGGUUGAUUCACCUUGGGAAACACUAUUAGGAUUGAGUCUCUUGGUUACGGGAAGAGAUUAGGGCUUUGAGUAUAAUUAGGCGGGAGACUUAUUCUUGUAACACAUUGAUAUCUCUAUUGUAACGUUACUUAUCAUAUAGUGAAACGGAUGACUGCUCUCUCCCCCAGACUAGGUCAAUUUGGACCGAACUAGGUCAACAAAUUAUUUUGUGUUCUCUCUUCCUUUCUCUCUCGCUGUUUUCUACUUUUGGUUUGUGUUUAUAAUUGUUCCAUACACUUUGUUUUCAUUGCUUGACUAUCCCUUGCACCACACAUCAAAUUUAUUAUGGUGUGUUUUCUCAUCGAAUUCGCAACAAGAUGGAGGAUAGGGUAUACCAAAUAUAAAUUAUCAUGAUUAUAUUAUCAGGGCCAAUCAAGCUUUCCAUUACAUAAGUAGAGUCACAUUGCAAUUAACUCAUCAAGCUUUCCAUUAGUUAUUCUUUACUUGAUUGAAAAUUACUCAUUAUUACAUUUUUUUUACAAGUUUUUUUUUUUGUUUCACAAGUCACGAGAGGUGCAACACAAGGACUUUCCAAAAGGUCAUCCAUCUUAAUACUACUCUCGUCCAAAUACGCUUAACUGCGGAGUUCUGAUGGGAUCCGGUGCAUUAGUGCUGGUAUGAUCGCACCUAUUACUCAAUAUUACAUGGCAUCAAUUCAUCCAACAUGAUAUUUAUUGAGUACUCUUCCUGUCCCACAAGAAACAAAUAACCACCUUCUUCAAUCACCUUAACACCACUCUCAUUUGCUCUACUAAGAUGCUCACAAACACUAACUUCAAAUCCAACUUCACCCUUUCCACCUCCUUCCACCGUCACACUCUCAAACCCUACCAACUGUUUUACUGGAUUUCCAUUUCUACCUUUCUUUGGCUUCACAAACAGCAACACAGGAUGCUUCCCAGCCAUGCUUCCAGUAUUUGUAAUUCCCAAUGUGACAGAAAUUGACAUGGUUUUACAUGUUUCUUCGCCUAACUCUGAAACAAGUUUGUAAUUGAUUGUUUCAGAGUUUUCGAGUAUUGAAUAAGUGGUUGAUUGGUUGAUGUGAAGGUUGUUAUUUUUGACGGAAAUGAAGUUGUAGGAAUAAUUUGAGUAGCUUAGGCCAUAGCCGAAUUCGUAGACCUUUGGACCUGUGUAGAAACGGUAGGUUCUACCGGGAUAGCCUGAUGAUGGAUCAGCUCUCAUUCUCAUGUCUGUCAUUGGUAUUUUGAUAAAAUCUUUUGGGUACCAUGUCAUUGGUAGUCUCCCCCCUGCAUUGCAGUGAUUAAUUAAUAAAGCAUCCCAUUAGUUGAGUAAUAGUAGUUUUAGGAAGAUAUACUUAAAAAAGUUAUUCGAGGCAUAUGUAUAUAGUGUAUUUUGCUCAACAAGAAAAAUCUUACAAAACUAUAAUCGAUGUUUCAAAUUGUGGACAUUUUUAAGUUACAUCGAAAACAUUUGUUCAAUAUAUUUGAUAUUGCUACAAUCGUUGUAUAGAAAAUAGCCUUCGUUUGCCAUCACAAUCACAAUUGCAGACUAUUUUAAAACUGUGGCUGCAACUGCAAUUGUGGUUGUGACCUUAACUAUUUUCUUGGAAUCUGGAUCCUCUGCUGCCAUCUAGUCCAUUCAACCAAAUCUCAAUCGUUGGUUCAAGGUUCAUUCUGCAUCCGGUGAUUGAGAUUUAGUUGCAUUUAAUAAAUGGAUGCAGAGGAUCGAAGCCGAAUUUUUCAGAUUCUUUCCCUUGUUUCCCAAUAUAAAAUAAAAGGUUAAAUAAGUAAAUGAUCCCCUUAUAUAUACCAACAUUUGAUUUUAGUCCCCCUAAAGUAUUUCAUAGGCUUUUGGUCCCUCUAAAAUUUUUCAUCUAUAAAAUUAGUCCCUGCUCUACAUUGAGUAUUACACUAGAGCAGAGACUAAUUUCAUAAAUGAAAAAUUUAGAGGGACCAAAAGCCUAAAGAAUAUUUAAGGGGGACUAAAAUCAAAUGUUGAUAUAUUUAGGAGGAUUAUUUACUUAUUUAACCCUAAAAUAAACAAUAAAAAAUUCCCUUUUUGCUUGACUAAAUAUUCUCUCAUUUAAUGGUUAAGACUUUCCGGAAUCUAUGAAGUUUAUACAUGUUUUAAGGAUCUUGGUCAUGCGCAGCCACAACUACAUGACUGUGUCUAGUUAGCAACAUCUGAACCAUUCAAUCUAGAUUGAGCUGUCUACAUUUCAAACUUGAUAUUUUAGAUUUAAAAAAAUCAAAAUCGUCAUUGAAAUUUGAACCGUCCAAUCUCCCGAUGUAACUUGACUGCGUACAGUAACACUGCAAACAAUCCAAAUCCAUUUUUUACCAUAUUAUGUCUGUUUAUUUGUCAAUGGAUAAAGCAUAGAAGAAAACAAACCUGGGUUAUAGUCACCAAACACAACCUGAGCAAGAGCCCUUCCACCAAGUUCACCAGGAUAACCAGCCCAAAUAAUCCCUCCAAUUUUGUCAUUAUUCUUAGCAAAAGUAAUAUCAACAGGACCACCGCACAAAAGCACCAAAAUAACAGGCUUCUUAGAAGCUUUCGCAACACUGUUAAUAAGUUUCUGUUGCUUACCAGGCAACUCUAAAUGAUCUCUAUCAAGUGUUUCCGUCUCUUGACUUUGGUCUAAUCCCAUAACCAAAAUAACAUAAUCACUUAUUUUAGCAACUUCAACUGCUCGGUCAAUUUCGGCUGAAGCACACUUUGUUCCAUCAGUACAUCCAGAAUGAUAAUGUGUCUGGCUUGCAUAAGUGUAAAAGCCUUUUAAGAUUGAUACAUUUUUACAAGGAGGACCAAUAUAGUUUCCUAAAAGAACUAUUGAUGAUUUAUUGGCAUUAGGGCCUAUAACUCCAAGGGUAUUCACUCUUGGAAGUGGGAGAAUUGAGGCAGUGUUUUUCAAAAGUACAAUGCCACUUCUUGCAGCUUCUAGAGCAAGGUCUAGGUUUUCUUUAGAGCAUACUUGAUUUGGACCAAUUCUGCCAUAUUGGAGUUUUGUUGGAUUCCCAUCAAACAAGCCUAGUCUUAUUCUAAUGGUAAACAGAUUGUGUAGGGCACGGUCGAUUUGAGAUAUAGGAAUUUUUUUUUGUAAUACUGCUGACUUUGCAUGCUUUGUCAUGUAGUUACCACACUCUAAAUCCAUCCCUGAAAAUUUUUGAUCACACAACAUGUAAAUCACCACGGUUCAUCAAGAUUAUUCCUUUUUGAGACAAAAUCUCUUAUGUUGUUUACAGACUGCCUUGUAAUGUUGUUUUUGUUUUUUGAUUUACGGCUGUUUUAGCCUUACUGUAUUGUAAUUAACUCUUUUCAGCUCCUCUUAGCACACAUUGUGCUUGAGGGACUAUAUGUCUCUUUAAUAUAUUUCUUUUAAUUUCUUAAAAAAAACUAAGUGAUUAUAAGCAAAAUACUAUCUAAUUACGUUCAUUAUUUAUUUUCAAGUGCAUAAUUUAUUUAUUUACUAACAUAGCUCUAAUUAUGUUACAUCUUUUUCUGCAACCUAUACUAAAAACUAUGGUGAAAAUAUAAACUACUAAUUAUUUAUCCUAAAGAGUAGACAUAAAAAUACACAUAUAAAUUGUAUAAAAAUCUAUAUUAUCACCAAUUUUUGUCUGAAGUCCUGCUGUGAAUUUUUUAACUAAGAUAUUUAAUUUGCUUAUCGCCAAAGGAAACGAUGACGGGCCAUCAUUGAUGGCUUAGAAUGGCAUGCCUCAUAUAUGUGGGGACUAAUGAUGGCUUAAAAUGGCAUGAAUUUUUUUUCAAGCCCUACUUUUGAAAAAAUUGUCCACUCUACCCUACAUUCAAAAUAAAUAUCCAAUCUAUUCUACUUUCAUAUCUUCUCUUACGUAGCACCAUUUGAUAUGACAUCAUCAUUCUUCAUGAUGACCCACUCUCUAUUGGUAUCACCCUAUCCUACUAUCUUUUUUAUUUUUUCUUUCGAUUUUCAUUUUUUUUACUUGAUAAUUUAUACUUCCUUAAUCAUGGUUCCAUCUCAGUUGGCACCAUCUUACUAGGUUCUUUAUAUUUUUUUUUUUGUUUAUUUUGUUGGUUGAAAAUUUAUUAUAUAAAUAAAUUAAUAGAAAAAAUAUAAAAUAAUAUAAUAAUGAAGAAGAUGAAGAACCAAUAGUUCAACGACGAAAGUCCACUCGUGUGUCAAUACCUAAAGGAUGUGGUACAUGCAGACAUGAAGUAGUUAGAAAAACUAGAAAAUAAUGUAAUAUUAAUAUUUAAAUACUUUUCAUUAUAAUAUUUAGGUUAAUUAAGUAAACGGUCUCUAUAAAUAUUUAGAAUUUUGUUUUUAAUCCCUACAAAAUAAAAUCAAACUUUUUAUUCCUAUAAAAUUUUCCAUCAACAUUUUUAGUCUUUAUAAAAUAUUUUCAUCAGCAUUUUUAGUCCUUGUAAAAAAUUUCCAUCAACAUUUUUGGUCCCUAAAAUGCUUAAGGAAAAUACAUAGGUACUAAAAAGUGUGAUUUUAUUUUUUAGGGACUAAAAACAAAAUUGUGAAUAUUUAUAGGGACUAAAAAUUUAAUUAACCCUAAUAUUUAUCAAUCUAUAUUAUCAUGUUAUUUUAAUUUUUUCUAUUAAUUAUUUAUGUUGAUUAAUAUCUAUUAUUAGUUAAUAUGAUUUUUUUUUAUUAAUUAUUUAUAAAAUAAAUUUUCAGCCAAAAAAAUAAAUAAAAAAUUAAUAAGAUGGUGUCAACUGAGAUGGAGCCAUGACGAAGGAAGUAUAAAUUAUUAAGCGAAAAAAAAGAGGAAAAGGUAGUAGGGUGGUGCCAAUUGAGAGAGAGUCGUCUUGAAGAAUGAUGGUGUCAUCAGAGAUGACGCCAUGUAAGGGAAAAAUAAAAGUAGGAUAUAGGUUGGAUAUUUAUUUUGAAUGUAGGGUAGAGUGGACAAUUUUUUUCAAAACUAUGCUUGCAAAAAUAAAAUUCUCGUAUGGUUUGGCUUACAUAUGCAAGUGAGAAAAGUACCUUCCGUUGGGACCAUUGACAAAGUAAGAUAACGAUAAUUCAAUGUCACUCACAUAAACACAUAAUAGUUAUAUUUAGCUACUUCUGAUUAUGACAUAAACAUAGGAAGAGUGAAAGUAUACCAGCUCGAAGUACAUCGGCUACAACAUCCUCUGGUGUUUUUGCAUAACCUUGUUUUUCAUAUAUGAAUCGAACUGCGUCACAAUCCGACGCAAUAUACCUAUUUUAACAGCCAAAAUCAUUCAUACUAAUCAAGUCAAAAUAAAGUAAAAUUUCACUUUUACAUUUUGGUGAAUGAUACAUUGUUAAAAUGUAGCUUCAAAAAGAGGAGAAAAAGUAGAAAAGUUUGAAUCGAACACCAAGUUACACCAACUAAGUAGGUCAUUGCUCACAUCGUUAAUAGAGUGAAAAACAUUAUUUCAUAAAAGAUAUUGUCUAAUAAAGGAUAUGUUGUUAAAUAUAUUGUUUAAUUCUUAUAAAAUUUACAUUUUUGUACUCACUAUUAAAUAUCUUUUUUGUUUUGUUACACUCACUUUUAAAUAUCUAAAAAUUUACAAAACUAAAUAUUUUGUGUUUCCAAUUUUGUAAUUUAUAAGAACUAAAAAGUAGAUAAAAGAAUUUAAACAAAAUUGAAAUAAUUAUAAGGGUCAAAACCAUAUGUAACACAAACUAUUAUAUAUACCCAUUGAAAUUCCAUUUUUUCCUUGCCGUAUUGGUUAAAAGAUUGUAAUCUGCACAGUUUGGAACUCCAUUGACACGAUUGUAAGCACACAUUAUUCCACUGGAUCGUCCUUGUACUACGCAACUAUGAAAUGAGGGUUGAUACGUAUCCGCUAAAUCUUGCAAAGUAACCUGAAUUAUUAGAACAUAUUUGGAUUAUUAAAAUGGAAAAAAUUUAAAAGGUGAGGAAUAUAAGAAAAAUUAGAAUCAUUUUUGAAUUUUUAAAUUAAAUUAAUUGUUCUUUUGCAAGUUAUGAUUCAAUUUUCAAGGAUUCAACAACGACAUAAAACAAAGCAUGUUUUGUAGUCUGCAUAACACAACAAACAAAACUCAGACAAAUUCAAGGACGACAUUGUCUAAUAUGCACAAACCGAUUUUGUGGGUCGUGGGGUUGAGGACUUAUCUUAUUUGUUCACCGUAGAAUUAAUCAUCCAAAGACUAAACCAUAGAGACAAGAAAACUUACUUUGGCAUCAAAAACAUAACGAUUCACACCCUUCCAAUUUUCCAAAUCAUAGGCAGUAAAGUGUUUGCAACAAGCAGAAGCUUUAAGACGACCUCCAAUCAGUUUCCCACCUUCAAAGGAAUCACCUUGAAGUCCUCUCACAUAGGAAACACCAUACUUUGAAUUUACCAAAGGAUCUUCACCAGCUGUUUCUUGUCCUCUUCCCCAUCUUGGGUCCCUGAAUAUGUUUAUGUUUGGUGCCCAAAAAUUCAUCCCUUGGGCUUGUCCAGCAUUGUAUACUCCUCUAGCCUCAGUUCCAAUCACCUUCAUUCAUACAACACAUAAUAAUAAUUACAAAGCAAACAAAACUUAAAUAAAAAAAUAUUUGAAUAUUUUUUAGGCUUAAUAACAGUUUUACCCCCUAACUUUCUUAAAGUUGUGAUUUUGGCCCCCUAAGAAAAACAAAAACUACAAAACCACCCUCUAAAUUUUGCACCUGUGGCAGUUUUGGCCCCCAAGGUCAAUUUUGACUCGGUCUACGCUGACGUGGCACCCUAAGUGAGGUGUCACAUGUUAUUUUUUUAUAUUUUUUUCGCCUUAGGGAGCCAAAACUGCUACAGUUGCAAAAUUUAAUUAGGGGGCAGUUUUGUAGUUUUUUUCUUAGAGGGCUAAAAUCUCAACUUCGUGAAAGUUAGGGGGCGAAAACUGCUAUUAAGUAUUUUUUAUCCUAAUUAUAAAAAAAAAAAAGUUUAAUUGUGGUGGGUUGACGGUCCAAAACAAUUUUGCACACACGACCAAUCAAAACAUUUCAAAUUGCCAUGUUAAUUAAAAACAAAGCAAUAAUUUAAUUGACAUGGCAAUUUAAAAUGUUUUGAUUGGUCGUGUGUGCAAAAUUGUUUUGGACUGUCAACCCACCACAAUGAAACCCAUAAAAAAAAUAAGGUCGCAAAUUUAUAUAUAUUAAAAUCGGGUAUCUGUCUGGUGACCGACGUAACGUGACAUGCUAAUUCAGGAGACUAAUCUCACCGCCUAGUAGUAGGAUUCAUUUGAAAUCAUAACUAUGUAUGAACUGACUCAAUACUAAAAUUGUUGGCCACACUCCUAAGUCUCAAACCAUAUACCAUAUGGGAAACCGCAGGAUUAGGUAAGUACUAAAACCUAUUUACUAAAUACUAAAUGAAAAAUAUAAUUUUAAUCUUUAAAAAAUUUCAAAAACAUGGGUUAAAUUAUUUGAAUGAAAACCAUUUCAAUCCAGGGACGGAUGCACAUAAAAAGCUAUGUAGGUUUGUGCACGCACUAACUUUGUAGAAUUUUUUUUAGGCGGUGGUAAUUAGUGAUAUAUAGUUGUAAUAGUUGAAAUGUUGUCCAAAUAGCCCACACAAACCACAACACUUUUCUCUUGGCCCACACAUAUACACACACCUUGACACAACAACACAAUCUUGUGAAAAAUCAGAUGUGAAAUCGCAUGAGAUGAAUGAUUAAACAAUUGUUUAAUUACUUAUAUAGAUAUAUACUUUUUUUUUUUAAAACAAAUAUAGAGAGAUACUUUUGUUUGUAUUGAAAAUGAGAAAAUCAUUCAAUAUUUUUAGAAUAUGGAGAAUGGUAGAGCACAAUUACGAUGUAUAUUUAUGCUUUUAAAAAUGAAAUAUAAUAUAUAUAUAUAUAGGGGUUUGCUAUGAUACACCCACCAGUUUUUAUUAAGGUGUGUUUUAACAACGAUAUAACUAAAAAGUUGUUAAAUACACCUUAAGGUAAAGGUUGCUAAAACACACCUUCUAAAAAAUAAGUGGGUGUAUGUUAGCAACUCCUAUAGGCAUUUGCUAGGAUACACCCACUUAUUUUUUAGAAGGUGUGUUUUAGCAAGUUAUAACUAAAAAGUAAUUAAAUACACCUUAAGGUGUAACUUGCUAAAACACUCCCACAUAAAAACUAGUAGGUGUGUUCUAGCAAAUCCUAUAUAUAUAUAUAUGUGGUGCCCCACUUUUUAAAAUUCUUGUAUCCACACCUGUUUCAACCAAGGACCAUGAUUCCCCGUAGUCGGGCAGAUGAUACGGUCAUACAGGUAGAGUGUUAUUGGUCUUACGAUUGAAAUCGGAUUGUGAAUAUUUAAAGAUCAAAAGUGAAAUAAAAACUAUUCUAACAAAUUAGACGGUUGAUAUCAUUCUACAGUCACUAUUUGACUAUUGAGAAUCAUUUUCCUUCAACCAACAUCAUUUUGUCACAAAUUUCCAACAUGGAUUAAACGAGUUACUCACCUUACUGAUUUGGUACCAAAGUUUGGGAUCAAAAGAAGCAGCAGUAAGAAUAACUUGAGGGAAACUAGUUGCAGCUGGAAUACUACCAUUCAAUAUUAUCCCCAUACCAACAUAAGAAACACCAUGCAAAGCUUCAUUCCACCAUUGGUAACUCGGUAUAUCGAGUCGAGGAAUGGCAGGAGCUGUGUUAACGAGUUGGGAGACUUUCUCAUCCAAUGUGAGCCGUGAUACGAUGUCUUUGGCUCUUUGAGUGAUGGUAAGGUUGAGAUUGCAAAAGGGAAAUAAUUUUGUACGUGGGUUUGAGGUGUCACAGGAGUAAGGAGGUACAAGAGUUGGUGGAUCGGCAUGAACGAGUUGGUGGUAGCGAGUUAGGAAGAGUAAAAUGAAAGAGAUGAAAGUUAUGGUGAUGGAAAAGUCGCCCAUGCUUUGAGGGGAUUUAUGCAACAAAGGUAGUGAACAGAACUUGUGUAUUUAUACAGAUACGUGUUUGUUUUUUUCUUUUGGUUACUUGUGUUUCUUUUUUUGGAAGAAAAAAAAAUUGUUCCUCAAACCAAAAAAGGAAAUUAUACGUCUGAGCCAAAUUAUACGUUUGAUUUGGAUAUGAAAAUUGAAAAAAAAAAAGAUAGCCUCUAAUGCUAGGCGCCACAUGUCAAAGGGAGUAUGAAAAUUGAAAAAAAGAAAUCGAAUCGUACACGUCUGACUGACCACAACACAUCCCGUUCUACUUCUAUCACUCCCUAUCAAGCUCUUAAGAUGUCGGCAAUUAAACAACCCUAAAUAUUAGGGUAAAUAUGCUUUUAAUCCCAUAGAUAUAUCAAUUUUUUUUUUUAUUUCCUUUUAAUUUUUCCUUCAACUUUUAGUUCCUAUAAAAUUUUCAAUCACUAUUUUUAGUUUCUAUUUUUAAUUUAAUUUUAGUAUUUCUUUUUAAUGAAAAUGUGCAGAUAUGUGUAGAAUAUAGCGAACAAUUAAAAUUUUUAACAAAAUAUAAAUUAAAUAUGAAUUUUUAAUCAUCAAAAAAAAUAAAAAUUCAUGUUUUGUUAAAAAUUUCUAUUUUUUUUAGUGAUUCUUAUAAUAUUAUGCAUUUUUCUCCAAAACUUUUUACAAAAAUAUGAAUUCUAUAUAUGAGUUUAUUUUAAAGGAGGGACCAAAAUUAAAGGUGAAAAUUUUUUAAGGACUAAAUGUUGAAGAAUAAUAUAAGAGGAGUUAAAACAAAAAGUUGAUAUAUUUAUAAAAACCAAAAACAUAUUUAACUCUAAAUAUUAAUUAAUCUACAAUAUAAACAAAUAAAACACAUUCUAUUCUCAAUUACAAGUGGCAGGCUUAUGUCUUAAUUAUAAUUAAUGCUAGGAUAAUACAAAUGUUCAAUAUACUCAUCUUCUAAAAGAAGAUCACCUUGAAUAAUAUUCUUAUCAUCAUCAUUCAAUGCAUUCAAAUCAAUAUUCAAAAUUAUUUUCAUAUCUUUGCAUUCAAGACACACACUCUAUAUUGUCUCUGGCUAAAGUCUAAAUUUUAUAAAAUCAUGACAUUGACUAGAACCUUUAAAACAAUAUCUUCAAAUUCCAUUUUCCUCUUCAAAACAAUAAUUUUCAACCUCAAUGCACUUUUAAGUCUGAUAAUUUUUCUACCAUAUAAUGCACACAUUGCUGAUAGUUUUGUACAUAUAGUUUGGAUUUUAAAGUUGUUUCACAGACCCUUCCAUCUUCUUUUUUUUUUACAUGAAUUUUUUACUAUUUUUUUAAAUCAACUAGCUACGCCUCCCAAAAUCGAAUUCGUCUAUGAAAUUAUCCUAAAGUGUUGUUGAUUUCAUUAUUCGUGUGUGAUUUGUCUGAACACACCACUCUUUUUAUUUGGAUAUAAUCAUCAUGGAGUCAAUCGUAUAUGUAUUAAUUUUAGCGCUAUUAAUAUAUUUUAGACUUAAAUACGUAAAUCGUUAAUGUAAUUUGGCGUGUUUUUUGUUUCCGUCUUUGUAUCUUUUUUGUUUUAAAACAACCCCUGUUAGUUAAUAACUUUUUUAUUUUCGUCCCUCCCGUCAACUUCCGUUACAAAAACGCACAUGUGGCAAACGGAGGAUGACGUGGCAGUGCCUGACGUGGCAAACUUAUUGAUGAGUCACACAGUGAGAGGGACCAAAACCAAAAAACGAAAUUUGUAGAGGGAUCAAAGCCAAAAAACAAAAUUCGUAAAGGGAUCAAAACCAAAAAGAGAGAAAAAAAUAGCUUUCUUCAUCUUCUUCCUUCCACCUCUUUUACAUAUUCAUCAUUGUCUUCAUAAAUUCAUCAAAAAAAACCAGGAAAAAAUACUCAGAAAAGAGAUAAAAAAAAUAAGAGUGAUGAUACAUGUACCACCUCAUGUGGCAAUACACCAUUUACACCCACACAAAAUUCUGACACGUGGCAACCUGGACCCCACACAAAUAGAAGAUAUUAUGAGAUGAACCUACAAAAAUAUUCUAAUACAUUGGGUGUACAAUGAGGUGUAGGAAUAAAGGGUGUUCAUGUAACAUUUUUCAAAAAAUAAAUAAAUAAAAACUCAAAAUCAUCAUCUCACUCUCAAUAGACAACUUCCCACAAACCCAAACAAAAUCCCCAUUGACAAUGGUCAGAUUGACAUCUCAACACUAAAAUCCACAAUGUUCAUAGUCCCAGCUAAACUUUUAUUGAUAAUAUCAAAAUCAAAUCAUAACAACAAAAUCCUCAUUGUGAAUGCUCAAAUUCCCAAUAUUGAAAAAAUUCACAAAAUUCUCAAAUUGAAAAAACCUAAAGAAUGAUUUUUUUUUUCUCAUUACCAACUCUCGUCUCAUCAUUGAUCUCGCAUCUCUGUUGUUUCUUGGUCACUCCAAAUGAUUUCUUCGUCAAUUCUUUGAACUCUAAUCUCAUCAUUUUUGUUUCGAACAUUUGGGUCGUGUUCUUUUUUCCGGUUGAUUUGGAAGAUUGUUGUGUGAAAUUGGAUUAUAAGGGAAAGGUUCAAGUUUGAUAUGAAUAUUAUUUUAAUUUGAAGAUUUAGAGGGAUAAUAAAUAGAAUUGAAAAAUAUGUUGGAAUGUCGAAUUGAGAUAAGUUUUAUUUUAAACGAUUUUAAAGUGUGUGAAAUUGGAUUGCACGUUAAACAAUGGGUAUAUUGGUUUAAUUUGAUUUUGCUGUUUGUGAGAAGAAAUAAAAGAGAAGUUAUCACAUGAAGGUAUAGUUGAAGGUGUUGGAUUGAAUUUGUUGUUGUUUUGAGUUGAUGGAUUUUUGGAUUUUGAAAUGAUGAAUUUCUUUGUUUGUUCGAUGAUGAUGAUGAAGUUUAUGAAGACAAUGAUAGUAAUGAAGAAGAAAAUGUGGGAAGAAGAUGAAGAAAUGUAAUUAAAUUUGAAUUUUUCAUUUUCUCGUUUUUUGGUUUUGGUCCCUCUACAAAUUUCAUUUUUUGAUUUUGGUUCUGGAAAUAAGUCCAUCUACAAAUUUCGAUUUUUUGGUUUUGGUUUUGGUCCCUUUACGAAUUUUGUUUUUUUGGCUUUGGUCCUUCUACAAAUUUUGUUUUUUGAUUUUGGUCCCUCUCACUGUGUGACUCAUCAAUAAGUUUGCCACGUCAGCAUCGUCUGCCACGUCAGGCACUACCACAUCAUCCUCCGUUUACCACAUGUGCGUUUUUGUAACGGAAGUUGACGGGAGGGACGAAAAUUAAAAAGUUAUUAACUUAUAGGGGUUGUUUUAGAACAAAAAAAGAUACAGGGACAAAAACCAAAAACACGCCAAAUUACAUGGACGAUUUACAUAUUUAAGUCUAUAUUUUAUGAUGUGAUUUUAACUGUUUGACACAUUAUUACAGAGAAAAAAAAUCCACACUAUUGUAUGUCUUGUUCGUCUAUAUGGCCAAUAAGGUUGCACUAGAGGGGUUAAAUAAAUAGCGGUUUGAAAUUUUUUACGGAGUUUUAGCAAAAUUGUUUUGAAAUGUUUUGACUAAUUGGAAUUAUGCUUUGAACACUCAUAAACAAUCACAAAAAGUUAAGACUAUGUACUAAAAAGAUUUACAAUAGAAUUGAGAGAUUCCCUAAAUAAAUCUUAUUACAAUCAAAUAUUAAUAAUUCUUGAACAAUUUGCAAAACAAGACAAUUUCAAAGUCAAACCUAUAAGAAAAUAUAACAAGCUACCAAUCAAAAACACAAUGCAUAUGCAAUUGAUGAAUUGGAUAGGAAUUGAAACUAAUUGAUCCAAGUAAAAUAGUGAAAACCUAAUUCAAGAAAUUAGGUCAAUUUAAAAAAAAAACAACUUAGAUCAAAAUUAAUUUCUAUUCUAUCAAUUAAUCAACUAAACAUAUACAACUAUCAAAAUUAAAGAGGAUAAGGGAAAAGAGAACGACACCAAGAUUUUAAUAGUAGUUCACCCUUUCGUCCUCACUUCGGGCUACGUCUACUCUUCUUGGUGAAAAACGCCUCCACCAAGGUCAUCCACUAAUAGUAACAAUAUUGAAUGCAAAUGUGAUUUCAAGAGUUCCUCGAAACUAUCCUAGUUCUUUAACCCAUAUGUAAGCACUUCCCCAAACUCCAAAUAAGCUUUGAAUUUGUUGCUUCUUGAUGUCUUCGAAUCCUCAAUCACCCGUGCAACCCUUCGAACUCUUCACUCAAGCUAUUCGAUGCUACGUUCGACAAAUGGAUCCCCUUGAACACACAAGAACAAUUAGAAAGAACCCCCAAGAAAUUUUGAGUUGGAAUGAGAUUAUUCACUUUACUUUAGAACCUUGAUUAAGCCCAACCAAUUUCCUUGAAAGAACAAACUUAUAAUCCCUAUUAGCACCCUAGAAAAUCAUGAUUCAAAGUACAAAAUGAUUCUAAGAAAAAAGUGUUUAAUCUUGAAGAAUUUAUGAACAAUGAGUUUUUGAGACCUAGAGAGAAUAAAUGCAAUUGAUUCAAUAUUUUCUGUGUUAUGAGGAUGUGUGUAUAUAUAGAAAAGGGUGGCAAGAGCAAAAUUUCGGCCAAAAACAACAUAGUGAAUCAAUUCACUAAAUGUGUGAAUCAAUUCAGAUAGGAAAAAUGCAAGCCAGAGACCUAUGAAGAUUGAUACGAUUCAUUGUAAAUUUGAAUCGAUUCAAGUGAGCUCAUGAUAAAGAAUGAUGUGAUUUAGACUUUUAUGAAUCGAUUCAGUGCAUGUCAGAAAAAAGUCAUGAUACGACUCAAACAAAUAUGAAUAGAUUUAAUCGUGAUACGAUUCAAAAACUUGUGAAUCGUUUCAUUAGAAGUCAGAACCUUCUUAUGAUACGAUUCACAUACUUAUGAAUCGAUUCAGUGAGUAAAAAGAUGAGAUAUGGUUAAGUUUCAAAUAUGUAAACAAUGCACAUGACACAAAUAAAUCCUAGAAUAAUGAGACAUAGUUGUUGGGUGCUUUAACAAGACUAUGUACUAGAAAAUAAAGAACAAGAUAAUCAUCAAAAGGAUAGACUAACGAACAUCAUCAAAAACACAUAAAGUAAAAAUUAUAUUGGCUUCAUGUCCUACUUUCAUCUUUUUUAAAUCUAAGAAGAGUUAUUUAUUUAAAUCUUGAUUUGUAUUUUAAACAAUGUUCUUUUGAUGUAUUUUUCAAGGCCAAAUUUUUCUUUUUGUAUGUUGAUUCCUGGAUUGUUUCUUUUUGUGUAACAGUAUAAACAAAUUCAACUUAUUAUUGUGUUUGUAAUUAAUUAUUAUUAUUUUGAAUAGAACACAUUUACUAUAUCACCGUACUACGUCUUAUCUACAAUAUAAAUAAAUGAAAUCAUUUUCAUUCUCAUGUAUACAAAGCAAUUUUCCGGAUCAUUUCACAUUAAUGUUAGGCUAAUUACACAAUUCAAAUAUGCAUUACAAUCAAAUAUACCUCCUUGGACCGUCAAUAUAUUUCCUAAGGGCCUCAAAGCCCUUUAGAAAGGUUUAGGUGCCUUUCAGAAAGACUCCUAAGGUUUAGGCGCGCACUUCUAGAAGCGUCGUCUUAUCUAGCUUUUAGAAGCAUCUAAUGCUUGAUAAAAUGACUUAAGGCACAACUUACUUGAGGCUUAAGUCACGCGAAAACAAGUCCACAAAGGACUAUAAAUAUUCAUCUUGGGAUCAUUCUCAAGGCAUCACAUAAACAGACUAAACUUUACUUUAUAAUAUUGUACUCACUGCAAGUAGUCCACACCUAUGGAUCCUAAUCGCGAUGGAACAUAAACCGCAACCCCUUAAUUGCACCCUUCAUUGCGAUUUAGGUCAAGCCGCAACCUCUAAAAUCGAUUCGGCGAUUUCACGAAGCAAUCGCUUAGCACAACCGAUCUAACCACGACGUUGUAGCAGUGAUGAAACCUCACAUAGAUUUGAAGGCCUCCAUUUUCUUUUUGCGGCUGUUCUAUGUGAGGAAGAUCCUUCUGAAACGCGAUUCCAAAAUAACUCCCUAGCUCGGGAUGAUUUUUUGCAGUAUUCUUUUCAUUUAUUUCAUAUACUUUUGUUAUUUUGAUAUGGAACUAUAAUUGCUCGUUUCAGUCCACACUUUUUUAGCGAUAGAAAAGAGGACCGGGUGAAGCUACUCAAGUAUACUAAUGAUGAUAUGAUCAAAGAGGGUAUUUUGAAUAUUUUAACAAAGGCUGGUGUUACUUAAAUUGCCUUUUCAUUAUUUUGAUAGAAUACUAUUAUUUCUUUUGAAUGCAGUAAUUCUACCGUGAAAAAUGCUAACAACAUUUACUUUUUAACACUCUAACAUUCGCUUUUCUACAUGAUGAAAUCAAUAUAUGUCUCACCAUUUUGUGUGGGAUCAAUUUUCAAAGUGUAGACUCACAAUGAUUUAAACCAAUAAAAAAAUGAAUAUUAAAGAAAGUAUUCAAAAGAGAAUGUUGUUGAUAGCAUUAUUCUUCUAUAUUUUAAUUAUUUAGUAUACACAAACACAUGAUAUCGUAAUAGGUACAAUUAUUAGCCUUUGAAAUCUCCAAAUAAAUUUUUUCUUGUUAUACUCAUGUUGUUGUGUGCAAUUUGAUUUGGAUUAUAUCUGCUUUCUCUUAUAAUAAAUUUUAUGGUUAAUAGUGUUUUACCUCCUUGUAAUAUGUCAUUUUUUUUUUCACCUUGUAAAAUUUUUUGUUUGGUUUUCGUCCUUCUAAUUUGAAGAUUUUUGCUUUUGGACCUUCAUGAAUUUAGUAUAGUACAACAUUCGACGACAUGGCAAGGGGCUAAACCAAAAUUCGCUCAAAUUAACAGGGAGUAAACCGAAAUUUGCUCAAAUUACACGGGGGUAAACCGAAAUUUUAUCAAAUUAUAGACGGCAAAAUUUGCCAUGAAGGUCCAAAACCAAAAAAUCUUCAAAUUACAAGGACGAAAACCAAACAAAAAAUUUUACAGAGUGGAAAAUAAAAAAUGACCUAUAUUACAUGAGAUAAAACACUGUUAACCCUACAUUUUAAAGUUAUAGGUAAUGUAUAGUUGUUUAGACGUGGCCAUAUACUAGUUCUGCAAAUUUCCGAUGUCUCUCACCUAUCUAGUAAAUGUGGCAUUCAAGUGGAUAUCUAUCUACAUCCGGAGACAAUGAAUAAUAUUUGCAGUUUCAAAGGUUCAAAAGAGAAGCAAAAUAUUCCUACUUACCAUAACAGGUGUAUUCUCAACCAUAUCUUUUUAUUUCCGUCUUUCAAUUAAUGAUUUGAUAUAUGGAGAACUAUAAUUUUGAGCCUUGAAGGUAUGCAUGUUUUGUGCUUAUGUUAGUCAGAUCUACUCCCAUUCAUGUUUUUCGUUACUUUCUUUUAUUAUAAAUUGGAAUUUUUGGUCGUUAUUAAUUAGUCAUUGUACAUUUUACAUUAUUAUAAAAAUUGAAACUAUAAUGCUCUCGAUUUCAUAGAAAAAUCAGUUUCAUAAAACAGUGGAUAAUGUUGUUGAGUUGGUUAUAACUUUGUCCACACUAAUGGUCUUUGAUUAGAGAGCAUAUGUGCUUGUUCUUCAAGUUAUAUCUUUUUCUGGAUUUGUCGCUACGUAAGUGCAUGAAACGUGCCCUAGGCGCAUGCAUGUGAGUGUGUUAUGGAUCCGUUCUUUCCAUUUUUUUUUUAUCUUUUUGGAUGUUUGCUUCCAUAUAAGAUGUCUUGGGAUCUGGGAACAUAAUUUCUCCCUCUGUAAAGUCUUAUGAGGUCUCUUGAAUCUUCAUUCUUGAUCAUCCCAAGGUCUUUACUAAUCUUUGGAUGUUCUUGUUUUUCAAUUUGCAUGAUUUCUUCGUGAAUUACAUCCAAAACACCCUGGAAUUGUUAUGUUUCGGGAAGAAUAGAUUACAAACUCAAAUAUAGAAAGCCUUACAAUUGUCCCGAAAUCAUAGGCAAUUGCUCUAAUACUCAUCCGUUUUGCUGGUAAAUCCUACUGAAAAUGACAAAAAAAUAUGCUAAGAAUAACGUAAGAUGAUCUGUCAUUAGUGCUCCUCUUGAUGUGAUCCAGGCACCCCAAGUGUGUAAAAUUGCACUCAUGUGCCCCGGGUGUCUUCCAUGAGCCCCCCAAGUGUGUUAUGUGCGCGCCUGAGAAAUAAUUGCUUUUUGCUACUUUUUAACGGGAAAACCCAAUUUCAAGGCCCAAACCCUGGUGGAAACUUUGCCUAUAAAUACAACUCCUCUCAUUCAUAUUUUUCAUUAGAAACAAAGCGGUUCAAGAGGAAGGCAACAACUAAGAGCUUUAAGGGAGGAAUCUCUCUCCUCACUCUAUGUCUCUAUGGUAUGUCUUAUUACUUUUGUAAUUUGUCUUUAGUUACCAUGAGUAACUAAAUCCUAUCAGGGUAGGGUUCUAAGAUGAACUUCUAUUUUAUUUUGUUUUGAAUUCGUUGAGAAUCACACCAAUAACAACUUGAUGUGUGGAGCAAGGGAUAAUCAAGCAACCAAAAUAAAGUGUAUGGAACAAUUAAAUACAAGCCAAAAGUAGAAAACAACGGCGAGAAGAACACAAAGAAGAGAAGAACACAAAAGAAUUUGUUGACCCAGUUCGGUCCAAAUUGACCUAGUCUGGGGGAGAGAGCAGCUCUCCGUUCCACUAUAUGAUGAGUAACGUUACAAAAGAGAAAUCAAUGGGUUACAAGAAUAAGUCUUCCGCCUAAUUCUACCCAGAGUCCCAGCCUCUUCCCGUAACCAAGAGACUCAAUCCUAAUAGUGUUUCACAAGGUGAAUCAACCCACAAACCCUAGUGUUUGUUCCAAAGAGACAAACUCUAUACAAACCCUAGUUUUGUUGUUGUCUUUCUAAACCCUUGUUUCAGCCCCCUCUAUCUCAAAGUUUGCUCUGAUACAAGGUCUAUAUUUAUAGUAAAAGUAUCGCUUAAAAUUUGGAACAAAUCUGCACCCAAAAAUACGUUUCUGUUAUUCGCUGUCAGCGCACCAUCGUGCCACGAUUUUUCCAGUGCCUUGCCUCAAAAAACUGAAACCUCCAUCGUGCCACGUUGUCCAACCAUCGUGCCACGAUUCUGCAGAAACCUGAUUUUAAGUUAACUCUCACAUAUUUGUUGGAUUAUUUUAAUUUAAGUUUUUUAUUCUGUUAUUUUAUGAAUUCUAUUUAAUUUUAUUAUGCAAAUUCUUAGUUUCACCCAAGUGAACCAACCUAGAGAUAACAAUAACUAGGGAAGUGACAUAACCUAAUAUUCGAUAAUAACCUACAUGAACCAAGUAAUAACUUAUAUAACUGUUUAACCACCCGAAUUAGGGAAAUAAUAGUAAUAAUGGUAAUUGAACCUAGGAACUAGCAUAAUAACUAUAAUCUUCUUACAUCCUUGGUAAGGUAGGGGAUAUAUGGCUUCUUGUUUGUAGAACUACCGAGGAGAGUAUGUUGAUGAACGUCUAAGAUUCAUAUACGAGAGAACCUUUAGGACCUUAAGAAUUUAGGAAACCCUAGUUUAAGUUUGUGUUUCAAUUAUCUUUGAAAGAGUAAGAACCCACAUAUACAUCUACAUCUACGUGCUAGGGAGCAUCCCCCUAUAAGAUUGACGACCCUAAGCAUGAACCCGUGUAGAAACUCUAGUGUAAGGAUGCAACUCGAUAGCUGGAGGGGAGUAAAACAUAUGACCUAUGAGAGAGUAAGGCCUCACACACGCAAACCAAUGCGAUCAGUAGGUGCAACUUGACAGCAUGUAGGAAAAUAAAACUCCACAAACUCAUCACUUAAAUAGAAUACAUUUAACCAAUAUCUGAAUAAUGUUUGACCAUUAAUUAAUUCCGACAAAUGAAUAAAUGAGAUUCUAAAAAUCUUAACAGCCGCUAACAUUUUGCAAUCAUAAACAUGUUACUCCUAAACUCUUGCUCUGAGCAAAUAGAUCAAAUUGCACAACCCUUUUUUUUAUUUUAUUGUUUAUUUAUUUUAUUUAUUGUUAUAAAUAAAUUACACGAAUUGGCUAGUUGGAAUAACAAUCCCUAUAUAUAUGAUACUCAAUUUAUCAGGACUUAUUGCAUUAGUGGUCUCUUAUUGAGCCUACUCGACAAACUUUUCAAGAUGUUAGAAAGUCUUAGAUUAUAACAAUCCCUAUAUAUAAUGCUAAUAUGUUAUCUACUCGCUUACUUGAAAAUAGACUGACAUGCAUAAUAUUAAUAAGGAUAUUUUAAUAAAUGAAUUUAAAUUAUCAUUAAAUUAAAGUUAAAUUGUAUUUUUGAUCCCUUAACUAUUUAGGUAGUAUCGGUUUGGUCCUUUAAUUAAAAUUCGAUUUAUUUUGGUCUCUUAACUUCUCUCCGUUAUACAUUUUUACCAUUUCUGUUAGUUUUAAUUCAAAAACGUUAGGUUUUCUUCAUCUUCUUCUCCUCUUUUCCAUCUUCAUAUCAUCUCCAUCAACCUUUAACAACAAGAAUCCCAGAAAAUAUUCCAAAAGAAAAUGAAGAAAACUUAACGUUUUUGAAUUAAAACUAACGGAAAUGACCAAAAUAUGUAACGGAGAGAAAUUAAGAGACCAAAAUAAAUUGAAUUUUAAUUAAGGGACCAAAACAAUACUACAUAAAUAGUUUUGAACCAAAAAUGCAAUUUAGCCUUAAAUUAAUUUACUCAUUGGUUUUUUUAAAAAAUAUACAUAACCUUUGAAGACAUAAGAUGGAGGAUAGCGUAUACUAAAAAUAUAUUAUCAUGAUUAUAUUAUCAGGGCCAAUCAAGCUUUCCAUUACAUAAGUAGACUCACAUUGCAAUUAACUCAUCAAGCUUUCCAUUGGUUAUUCGUUACUUGAUUGAUAAUUUCUCAAUACUACAUUUCAUCAAAGAGUGAUAUUAAUUGAGUACUCUUCCUCUCCCACAACCAACAAAUGACCACCUUCUUCAAUCACCUUAACACCACUCUCAUUUGCUCUACUAAGAUGCUCACAAACACUAACUUCAAAUCCAACUUCACCUUUUCCUCCUCCUUCUACCGUCACACUCUCAAACCCUACCAACUGUUUUACUGGAUUUCCAUUUCUACCUUUCUUUGGCUUCACAAACAGCAACACAGGAUGUUUCCCAGCCAUGCUUCCAGUAUUUGUAAUUCCCAAUGUGACAGAAAUUGACAUGGUUUUACAUGUUUCUUCACCUAACUCUGAAACAAGUUUGUAAUAGAUUGUUUCAGAGUUUUCGAGUAUCGAAUGAGUGGUUGAUUGGUUGAUGUGAAGGUUGUUGUUUUUGACGGAAAUAAAGUUGUAGGAAUAAUUUGAGUAGCUUAGACCAUAGCCGAAUUCGUAGACCUUUGGACCUGUGUAGAAACGGUAGGUUCUACCGGGAUAGCCUGAUGAGGGAUCAGCUCUCAUUCUCAUGUCUGUCAUUGGUAUUUUGAUGAAAUCUUUUGGGUACCAUGUCAUUGGUAGUCUCCCCCCUAAAUAACAAAGCAUCCCAUUAGUUGAGUAAUAGUAGUUUUAGGAAACUAUACUUGAAAAAUAUAGUUUACAGCACUAUAAGCAAUAUUUUAAAUUGUGGACACUUUUAAGUUGCAUUGACAUGGAUGAUAUUGUAGAAAACAUUUGCUAAAUAUAUUUGACGUUGCUACAACCCUCGUAUAGAAAAUAGUCUUCAUUUUAUGGUCACAAUCACAGUUGCAGACUAUUUUUAAAAACCAUUGACAUAAAGACUCUGGCUGCUAUUGUGGUUGCGACCUUGACUAUUUUCUUUGAAUCUGGAUCCUCUGCUACCAUCUACUCAGUUCAAGGUUCAUAAUCUCUGUCAUUUGUUCAAGGUUCAUUCCGCAUCCAGUAAUUCAGAUUUAGUUGCGUUUACUAAAUGGUUGCAUGGGACCGAAGCGACUCUUUCCCUUGUCUCCCAAUAUAAAAUAUAAAAUAUAAAAUAUGAAAUUCCCUUUUUGCUUAACUAAAUAUUAUCUUAUACAUGUUUUAAGGAUCUUGGUCGUGCGCAGCUGCAACUACAUUGCAUGCAGUUAGCAAUAUCUGAACCAUCCGAUCAAGAUUGAGCAGUUUAAAUUUCAAGUGUUGCAAAAUCAAAUCGUCAUUGAAUUCUGAACUGUCCAAUCUCCAGAUGUUACCUAACUGUGUGCAGUAACACUGCACACAAUCCAAAUCCAUUUAUUUUAUCACAUGUGUGUUUAUUUGUCAAUGGAUAAAGCAUAGAAGAAAACAAACCUGGGUUAUAGUCACCAAACACAACCUGAGCAAGAGCCCUUCCACCAAGUUCACCAGGAUAACCAGCCCAAAUAAUCCCUCCAAUUUUGUCAUUAUUCUUAGCAAAAGUAAUAUCAACAGGACCACCACACAAAAGCACCAAAAUAACAGGCUUCUUAGAAGCUUUAGCAACACUGUUAAUAAGUUCCUGUUGCUUACCAGGCAACUCUAAAUCAUCUCUAUCACGUGAUUCCCUCUCUUGACUUUGGUCCAAUCCCAUAACCAAAAUAACAUAAUCACUUAUUUUAGCAACUUCAACUGCUCGGUCAAUUUCAGCUGAAGCACACUUUGUUCCAUCAAGACAUCCAGAACGAUAAUGUGUUUGGCUAGCAUAAGUGUAAAAGCCUUUUAAUAUUGGUACUAAUCUACAAGGACGGCCAAAGUAGUUUCCUAAAACAACCUUAGAUGAUUUAUUGGCAUUAGGGCCUAUAACUCCGAGGGUAUUUACUCUUGGAAGUGGGAGAAUUGAGGCAGUGUUUUUUAAAAGUACAAUGCCACUUCUUGCAGCUUCAAGAGCAAGGUCUAGGUUUUCUUUAGAGCAUACUUGAUUUGGACCAAUUCUGCCAUAUUGGAGUUUUGUUGGAUUCCCAUCAAACAAGCCUAGUCUUAUUCUAAUGGUAAACAGAUUGUGUAGGGCACGGUCGAUUUGAGAUAUAGGUACUUUUUUUUGUAAUACUGCUGCCUUUGCAUGCUUUGUCAAGUAAUCACCACACUCUACGUCCAUCCCUGAAAAGUUUGAUUACACAACAUGUAAUUCGCUUGAUUAUAAUAGUACUUGUGUAUGUUUUGUUGCAAAAUAAAGAUAACUAUUCAUCGUCAAUCUAAACAUGCAUUAAAUCUAAAGAGUAAAGUCAUGUUCUGUUUUGUUGCAAAAUAAAUAUAACUAAAGUGGUUAUAGAGCUUAGAGGUAAAGAACUUUGACCUAAGCUAAAACUAAGGCAAAUAAAGUGUGAUUAUAAAGUUUAGAGGUAGUAAAUGUCCACAUUGACUAAAAUUAAGACAAGUAAUUUAACCAUAAAACUUAGAGUGCAUGGAUCAAUCUUAAUUAUCUUGGACACUUGCAAAUCUUCCUCAUUAAAAGGCAUAAAUGAACACCUCUCAAAGAAAUAAGUAUGAGGUAAAGUGCAUGUAUAGUAAAUCUCUAAUUGAAAUAAAUUUUAGGCUGUACUCAGGUCCAAUGAUAGACAUUAAAACAAGUACAGUCUUUGACACACAACUUAAGUCCAGCUGUGAAUUUUUGGAGUAUGCUAUUUAAUUUGCUUGGCGUGGGGCAUAUAUGUGGGGACUCUAAUGAAAAUGUGGGUAAACCAUGUGACUUUGUUAGUAACAUGAGCAAAAAUUGGAAACUAAAGUGACCAAAAUACAAAGUGAGAAAAGUACCUUCCAUUGGAACCAUUGAUAUAGAGUUAGAUAAUGAUAAUUACACUAGUUUAUAAAUAUUAUUAUGUGAUUAUUGAGUUUACAAAUCAAGUUUAUAUAGACUUCACUAGUUUGAUUAGAAUUUACUCAAAAGAAACAAAGUUUGCUUUAGAAUAGAGUUCAACAACCUUGAUUUAUAAAUACUAAUAUGUGAUUAUGAAAUUAACAAAGGAAGAGUGAAAGUAUACCAGCUUGAAGUACAUCGGCUACAGCAUCCUCUGGUGUUUUUGCAUAACCUUGAUUAUCAUAUAUGAUUCGUACUGCUUCACAAUCCGACGUAAUAUACCUGAUUUUGAACACCCAAAGUCAUUUUUAUUAAUCAAGUAAAAAAAAAGUAAAAGUUCACUUUCACAUUUUGGUGAAUGAUACAUUAUAAAUAUGUAGCUUCAAAAAGAGAGAGAACUGAAAAGUUUGAAUUGAAAACUAAGUUUCACCAACUAAGUAGGCCAUUGCUCACACCUUCAAUAGAGUAAAAAACAUUGUUUCAUAAAGGAUAUAUUGUUAAAUAUAUUGUUUAAUUCUUAUAAAAUUUACAUUUUUGUACUCAUUUUUAAAUAUCUAAAAAAUACAAAACUACAUAUUUUGUGUUUCCAAUUUUGUAAUUUGUAUGAACUAAAAAGUAGAUAAAAGUAUUAAAAAAAACAAAGUUGAAAUAUAUAUACCCAUUGAAAUUCCAUUUUUGUCUAGCAGUUUUGGUUAACAGAUUGUAAUCUGCACAGUUUGGAACUCCAUUGACACGGUUGUAAGCACACAUUAUUCCACUGGAUCGUCCUUGUACUAUGCAACUAUGAAAUGGUGGUUGAUACGUAUCCGCCAAAUCUUGCAAAGUAACCUGAAUUAUUAUAACGGAUUUGGAUUAUUUUAAUGGAAAAUUUUUAAAGUUGAAGAAUAUAAGAAUAAGAAUCAUUAGCGUAACAAGAUUUAAUAGUAAUAUCAUAUUAUGAUCAAAUGUAUCCAAAACCACCUCAUGAUCCAAAGCUAUGUAAGACAUUGUUCAAGUUCCAAGCAUUGAUCAACGGCAUAAAACAAGGCAAUUCAAAAUGUAAAACAAAAAGACAAAACAUGAUAUGCACAACUCAACAAACAAAACAAAAAGACAAUCCAACGUCUUCAUAUAUAAGUAAACAAACAAGAACUUGGUUACUUUCUCUGUUUUUAUUCAGGUAUCAAUUUUUUUCAAAAUUUUGCUAUUACCUAUUUAUCAUAUUUUAAUUUCAUUAUUAAAUUAAGUAUUCUUUUGCCAAUAAUACCUACUAUAACUAAAUUAUAUUGAUGCAGUAAGAUAAUUGGAGCUGUAUUAUGCAAGAAAUGAUUCAAGUUCCAAGCAUUCAUCAACUGACAUAAAACAAGGAAAUUCAAAAUAAAAAUAACAAACAGACAAAACAUGCUCUGCUGCACAGCACAACAAGCAAAACUAAAAGACAAAUCCAACGACGGCUUUGUCUAAUAAGCACAAAUAAAAUGGUUUUGUAUCAUGCACAAAUAUCUUUUCUACAUUUGACUAAUAAAUCACUUUAUACAUCUUUCAAUUUAACGAUAAGAUUUAUUGAUCUAAUGGUGAAAAUUAGUUUGUGCAUGAUGCAAGAUUUAUCUCACAUGUUCACCGCAUAAUUAAUCAUCCAAGGACUAUAUGCCAUAGAGAAAAGAAAACUUACUUUGGCAUCAAAAUCAAAACGGUCCAAACCCUUCCAAUUAUCCAAAUCAUAGGCAGUAAAAUGUUUGCAACAAGCAGAAGCUUUAAGACGAUCUCCAAUCAGUUUUCCACCUUCAAAGGAAUCUCCUUGAAGUCCUCUUACAUAGGAAACACCAUACUUUGAAUUCACCAAAGGAUCUUCACCAGCUGUUUCUUGUCCUCUUCCCCAUCUUGGGUCCCUAAAUAUGUUUAUGUUUGGUGCCCAAAACGUCAUCCCUUGAGCUUGUCCAGCAUUGUACACUCCUCUAGCCUCAGUUCCAAUCACCUACAUACAAUUUAAUUAAGAUAAAAAAGCAUAAUUUUUUUUUUUUGAAAACCAAACAUCAGCUCAAUGACCAAAUAUUGUGGAGGAUCAAUUCCACCCUUCACAAUUAAAAUCACCCAAAUCUCAAAGUCACCCAAGUAUUUUCCUCACUAACAAUGGGUCUAUUAAAAGUUAUAGCAAAAUUUUGUAUAGACUAUUCAAACCCGAGACCAUUAGAAUUGUAUACUCGAAGGUCUCAAGCCUAUACCACCAGACCAAGUCAUCUCCAGUGAUGAUAAAAAUUCACUAAUAUAAUAUGUUUUCUUAUUAUAAAAACUGAAAUCAAGUAAUUAAUAUAUCUUAAAAUAAUCCAAAAAAAACUAAAAUCUUUAAAUUAGAUAAAAAUACAAAAAAUUCUUAUUAUGAUAAGAAAUGAGAAGUACCGUCCUCGUGAGCUUAACUCAAUUGAUAUGGACAAUACAUAAUAAUACAUAAGGUUGGAGUUUGAACCCCGGCAACCAAAAAAAAAAUGAGAAGUACUAAAAAUGAAUUUUAAACAUGGAUUAAAAGAGUUACUGACCUUACUGAUUUGGUACCAAAGUUUAGAAUCAAAAGAAGCAGCCGUAAGAAUAACUUGAGGGAAACUAGUAGCACCUGCAACACUGCCAUUCAAUCUUAUCCCUUUACCAGCAUUAGCAACACCGUGCAACGCUUCAUCCCACCAUUGGUAACUCGGUAUACCGAGUCGAGGAAUGGAAGGAGCUGUGUUAACGAGUUGAGAGAUUUUCUCAUCCAAUGUGAGCCGUGACACAAUGUCUUUGGCUCUUUGAGUGAUGGUAAGGUUGAGAUUGCAGAAGGGUAAGGAUUUUGUAAGUGGGUUGGUGGUGUCACAGGAGUAUGGAGGUACAUGAGUUGGUGAAUCGGCAUGAACGAGUCGGUGGUAGCGAGUUAGGAAGAGAAAAAUGAAAGAGAUGAAGGUAAUGGUGAUGGAAAAGUGACCCAUGCUGUGAGGGG